GACGAACGCUGGCGGCGUGCCUAAUACAUGCAAGUCGAGCGAAUCACUGGGAGCUUGCUCCCGGUGGUUAGCGGCGGACGGGUGAGUAACACGUGGGCAACCCGCCUGUAAGACUGGGAUAACACCGGGAAACCGGUGCUAAUACCGGAUAAUCCUUUUCCUCUCAUGAGGAAAAGCUGAAAGUCGGUUUCGGCUGACACUUACAGAUGGGCCCGCGGCGCAUUAGCUAGUUGGUGAGGUAACGGCUCACCAAGGCGACGAUGCGUAGCCGACCUGAGAGGGUGAUCGGCCACACUGGGACUGAGACACGGCCCAGACUCCUACGGGAGGCAGCAGUAGGGAAUCUUCCACAAUGGACGAAAGUCUGAUGGAGCAACGCCGCGUGAGCGAUGAAGGCCUUCGGGUCGUAAAGCUCUGUUGUUAGGGAAGAACAAGUACCGGAGUAACUGCCGGUACCUUGACGGUACCUAACCAGAAAGCCACGGCUAACUACGUGCCAGCCGCCGCGGUAACAC
rnacentral:rRNA from 1 species